rnacentral:lncRNA from 1 species
AGAGGUUUUGUAGAAGGCCACCGAGGCAUUGACCAGCUUGAGCCUGUCCUCCAUCUUCAGCAUCAGCUGCUGCCAGUGCAGGGCCACCUUUUCAGCGCAUUCUCUGAUGGCAUCAGCAUCAUAAUGCCCAGCCUGCAGCAGCACUUCGGCUUUCUGCUGGACCUGCAGGGCACUCUGGUGUGUCUUCUGUAAGGAAGUGGCAUGAAAGAGGGACUGUGCACGAUGAGAGGAGAGAGAGGCAAGCCAUGACUGAUGCCCAAGAGGUAACCUUUUGCAUGCUGUUCACCUGGGAAGAAGAAACCAAAUUAAUUUGCUCAUGUUACCUCUAUGGCCAGCUGAAAUUGCUCAUGCUCUCGCUGGAGCUGCUCAGCCUCAGAGAGGGAGCUUGCAUUGACGAGGCUUGCAUUCAGCAUUGAUUCACCAUUCCGGAUCCAACCAAGCACCUGCAAAGAAAGGAUGUGCUUAUGGGAAGGGUACAAAGAUUUCUGUUGUCACUCAUUAGACAAUUG